UCCCAAAGUCAUGGUUAAGUGGGAAACGAUGUGGGAAGGCCCAGACAGCCAGGAUGUUGGCUUAGAAGCAGCCAUCAUUUAAAGAAAGCGUAAUAGCUCACUGGUCGAGUCGGCCUGCGCGGAAGAUGUAACGGGGCUAAACCAUGCACCGAAGCUGCGGCAGCGACGCUUAUGCGUUGUUGGGUAGGGGAGCGUUCUGUAAGCCUGUGAAGGUGUGCUGUGAGGCAUGCUGGAGGUAUCAGAAGUGCGAAUGCUGACAUAAGUAACGAUAAAGCGGGUGAAAAGCCCGCUCGCCGGAAGACCAAGGGUUCCUGUCCAACGUUAAUCGGGGCAGGGUGAGUCGACCCCUAAGGCGAGGCCGAAAGGCGUAGUCGAUGGGAAACAGGUUAAUAUUCCUGUACUUGGUGUUACUGCGAAGGGGGGACGGAGAAGGCUAUGUUGGCCGGGCGACGGUUGUCCCGGUUUAAGCGUGUAGGCUGGUUUUCCAGGCAAAUCCGGAAAAUCAAGGCUGAGGCGUGAUGACGAGGCACUACGGUGCUGAAGCAACAAAUGCCCUGCUUCCAGGAAAAGCCUCUAAGCAUCAGGUAACAUCAAAUCGUACCCCAAACCGACACAGGUGGUCAGGUAGAGAAUACCAAGGCGCUUGAGAGAACUCGGGUGAAGGAACUAGGCAAAAUGGUGCCGUAACUUCGGGAGAAGGCACGCUGAUAUGUAGGUGAAGCGACUUGCUCGUGGAGCUGAAAUCAGUCGAAGAUACCAGCUGGCUGCAACUGUUUAUUAAAAACACAGCACUGUGCAAACACGAAAGUGGACGUAUACGGUGUGACGCCUGCCCGGUGCCGGAAGGUUAAUUGAUGGGGUCAGCGCAAGCGAAGCUCUUGAUCGAAGCCCCGGUAAACGGCGGCCGUAACUAUAACGGUCCUAAGGUAGCGAAAUUCCUUGUCGGGUAAGUUCCGACCUGCACGAAUGGCGUAAUGAUGGCCAGGCUGUCUCCACCCGAGACUCAGUGAAAUUGAACUCGCUGUGAAGAUGCAGUGUACCCGCGGCAAGACGGAAAGACCCCGUGAACCUUUACUAUAGCUUGACACUGAACAUUGAGCCUUGAUGUGUAGGAUAGGUGGGAGGCUUAGAAGUGUGGACGCCAGUCUGCAUGGAGCCGACCUUGAAAUACCACCCUUUAAUGUUUGAUGUUCUAACGUUGACCCGUAAUCCGGGUUGCGGACAGUGUCUGGUGGGUAGUUUGACUGGGGCGGUCUCCUCCUAAAGAGUAACGGAGGAGCACGAAGGUUGGCUAAUCCUGGUCGGACAUCAGGAGGUUAGUGCAAUGGCAUAAGCCAGCUUGACUGCGAGCGUGACGGCGCGAGCAGGUGCGAAAGCAGGUCAUAGUGAUCCGGUGGUUCUGAAUGGAAGGGCCAUCGCUCAACGGAUAAAAGGUACUCCGGGGAUAACAGGCUGAUACCGCCCAAGAGUUCAUAUCGACGGCGGUGUUUGGCACCUCGAUGUCGGCUCAUCACAUCCUGGGGCUGAAGUAGGUCCCAAGGGUAUGGCUGUUCGCCAUUUAAAGUGGUACGCGAGCUGGGUUUAGAACGUCGUGAGACAGUUCGGUCCCUAUCUGCCGUGGGCGCUGGAGAACUGAGGGGGGCUGCUCCUAGUACGAGAGGACCGGAGUGGACGCAUCACUGGUGUUCGGGUUGUCAUGCCAAUGGCACUGCCCGGUAGCUAAAUGCGGAAGAGAUAAGUGCUGAAAGCAUCUAAGCACGAAACUUGCC
rnacentral:rRNA from 1 species